UCGGCGUCGCGACGCGCAUGCCCAAAAUGGCCGACUGCGACGUCACCCUUCGACACUCAUUUCGCGCUAAGUUUUUACGGUAAUUAGAGCGGUAAUUACAGUGUGGCGAUUUCGCGAUCUUUCCGGACCAAAGUCGAAAAAUUCAAAGAAGCGAUUUUGCGCGGUUUGAGUAAACAAAGUGACGAGUGUUUGGCCGAACAAUGGGGCAAUUUCCUCCAAAAUGUCCACUCUAAUGGAUUGGGGCGGGAAAGCGGGGCCCAUUAUGGAAAUAAUUAGUAAAUUUUAUUUAAUUUCGACAAUCGAUACGUGGUUUGUGAGUUUUUGUCACGAGGAUAAUAGAUUGCGUUAGCUUAUUAAUGUUUUGAGGCGAGAAAGAGCCGACAAUACGGGAAAUUAAAUUAAUGUUCGAUUGAUAAGGUCCUAGACGGGCGAUACAAUAAAACUUUAUUCAAAAUUUAACGAUUUUUACACAUUUUUUGUUACCGGAAUAAAAAUUAAAUUAAUCAACGUCUCUACAACACAAAAGUUUAUUUUCAUGCUCUAAUUUAUGGUGUCACAGGAUCAAUUUUAAUUUAUAGUGAUUGUUAGUUCCGAUUUUAUGGCAUUAUUUCAAAUUAGGUCUGUUAAGCACCACAAACCACCGUCACCAUGGUUUUAAUUUCCCCCUCACGCCCCCCGUUAUCAAUGCAAAUCGCGACCGUUUAUCAAAAAUAAUUUAUUCAUUACAUCCAUCCGAUCAGAUUAGAUCGCACAAAGUGUGUCCUGAUGGGUUACAUAAAAAUUACCAUUUCUUCCGGUUGAUGGACUGAAAUACCGAUGAACCGGAAGCGAUCCGACUUGACGUUUCCAAUCAAACUCUCUACCUGCCUGCGGUGAUUGGGGAUGGUAUUUUUUCAACUCGGGGCUCUUUUCACCCAGAGUGAUGCUGGCCGCUUUCGCUCUUACUUUCGAUAAAUACCAUUUAUUGGGUCGUUUAGCAGGGGCUAUAAAAUCAAGUGGGCUCUUGGUAACGAAUCAUUUAAUAAGGAUUUCAACGAUGACAGGUUGGCGGACUUGGCUGUGAUCGAUCGGCGUUAAAACAAAGACUUCUAAUUCAUUUAUUCAAAAAAAUUGUAAAAAAAUCCUAAGCCUCAAGUUAUAGGUAAGUAUAUUGUUGGCCAGAUUA